AAUAAAUAAUUUUUUAUAACCUUUUAAUUAUUAAAAUUGUAGUUUACAAAACAUUUUUGGUAGUCAAACAAUUAUAUAUAUUUACUUUUAUAAUAUAUUUAUUUUUCGAUUAACACAUCCGCAUAAAACGGACGUCGAACAAUAAAAAUUGGGGAUUCUAAGGAAUUUGAAAUUUUUUCGCAGCGAUCAUAAAGUCCAGAAAAAAACCAGGAGCUGUCGAAUAUUUACGAAGUGUAAAUUCUUCUUUCGAGUAUCUUCGUUUCACUCGUUAUCACGACGCGCAACAAAUCUUGACAGACGCAACAUCGCAGCAUUGCAGAAUGUAACAUUAAUUCCUACAAAAAGUUUCAUUAAACCCAGACGGCAUCCGAUAAAAGGAGCAAUAAAGAGGAGGAGAGAAUCGCGCGGUGGAAGGGAAAGAAGGAUCGUCGCGAUGCAGUUCACUGCAGUCGACUUGCGGCAUCGCUAACGUAGAAACUCUCGGAGGAUCUCGUACAUACGUCCUGUAGGAAACUUCCAGAUGGUGAGUCUUAAACGUGGCGGCAACGGCGAGAUCCCCGGGAAAAAGUGCGGAAAAAGCGCGAGCGCGCGAGGAAGCCGCGAGCGCGACUGGGUGUGUGUGUAGAGCGCUGUAACUUGUCGGCAUUAAGCCAAUUAAGAUGACGCAUGGCUGCGAAACUUUCGCCACCGCCGGAACGAUCAAUUUCGUUUUCUCCGCGCCCCGCGAAGGCAACGAUUCUGUCGAAGGGUCGAUUGGAAGAACUGUUGCAGCACAUUUUUUUUUUACACAUCUUGCAGCAGAAAUGUCCGUCCGAGAGAUUUUGACGGAUUAAAUCGCGGAAUAUUAAUUAAUUAAAUUUAAACCGUGAAGCUCAUUAUAAAACCUGAAGAGAAUAAAAUUAAUUAAAAUCCAAAUUAUACGAGUAGCAGGUUUCUGUGAUGCACGCAGGGUUUCUCAUUUUAAUUGGUAUAGUGAAUUAUCCUAGAAAUAAAGAGCACUUUUCAGAGAAAUGUUGAAGAC